rnacentral:rRNA from 1 species
GUAGGUGGCAAGCGUUGUCCGGAAUUAUUGGGGCGUAAAGCGCGCGCAGGGCGGUCCUUUAAGUCUGAUGUGAAAGCCCACGGCUCAACCGUGGAGGGUCAUUGGAAACUGGGGGACUUGAGUACAGAAGAGGAAAGCGGAAUUCCAAGUGUAGCGGUGAAAUGCGUAGAGAUUUGGAGGAACACCAGUGGCGAAGGCGGCUUUCUGGUCUGUAACUGACGCUGAGGCGCGAAAGCGUGGGGAGCAAACAGGAUUAGAUACCCUGGUAGUCCACGCCGUAAACGAUGAGUGCUAAGUGUUAGGGGGUUUCCGCCCCUUAGUGCUGCAGCUAACGCAUUAAGCACUCCGCCUGGGGAGUACGGCCGCAAGGCUG